UUUCCGUAGGUGAACCUGCGGAGGGAUCAUUACUGAGUGAGGGUCUCCGGGCCCGACCUCCAACCCUUUUGUGAACCGAAACCUGUUGCUUCGGGGGCGACCCUGCCGUUCGGCGCGGCGCCCCCGGAGGCUCAUCAAACACUGCAUCUUUGCGUCGGAGUUUAAGUAAAUUAAACAAAACUUUCAACAACGGAUCUCUUGGUUCUGGCAUCGAUGAAGAACGCAGC
rnacentral:misc_RNA from 1 species